UUAUUUUUUGCUUUUCUUGAACCCCACAACUUUUUUGAUUUGAUUUAUUUUUUUUCUGUUUUUUUUUUGAACCCCCAAAACUUCAUGUCACUCUUACUGCCAAACAAUGAACCGCGUUCUCCAUCUGAAUCUCCAUCUCUGUACGACGGAAUCUCUUCCUCCAAUAUCGCGCUACUAGGGAAAACUCGUUGAGUCAAAAUCACGAUGCUAAACUCCUCAGAGUAACAUCUUCACCAACCAGCCAAACCAAUUCUCAAAC
rnacentral:lncRNA from 1 species